rnacentral:rRNA from 1 species
GAACGCUGGCGGCAGGCCUAACACAUGCAAGUCGAGCGGAUGAAGGGAGCUUGCUCCUGGAUUCAGCGGCGGACGGGUGAGUAAUGCCUAGGAAUCUGCCUGGUAGUGGGGGAUAACGUCCGGAAACGGGCGCUAAUACCGCAUACGUCCUGAGGGAGAAAGUGGGGGAUCUUCGGACCUCACGCUAUCAGAUGAGCCUAGGUCGGAUUAGCUAGUUGGUGGGGUAAAGGCCUACCAAGGCGACGAUCCGUAACUGGUCUGAGAGGAUGAUCAGUCACACUGGAACUGAGACACGGUCCAGACUCCUACGGGAGGCAGCAGUGGGGAAUAUUGGACAAAGGGCGAAAGCCUGAUCCAGCCAUGCCGCGUGUGUGAAGAAGGUCUUCGGAUUGUAAAGCACUUUAAGUUGGGAGGAAGGGCAGUAAGUUAAUACCUUGCUGUUUUGACGUUACCAACAGAAUAAGCACCGGCUAACUUCGUG